AUGCAAAUUCUUCACUUGAGGUGUUUCUCAACCCUUUUAUCCUAUUUUCUUAUUUUCCUUUUUCUUUUGUUUUUCUUCUCAAUUUCCAGCCCAACUGCCCAAGUCACCCUCAGUGUCUUCUCUCCGCCGCCGCCACCACCGAAGCUCUCGCCGCCAGAGCGCCGCGCCGGGUCCUCUCCACCACGCAACCACACCUCCUCCCCGCCGCAGCGCUCGCUGUGGCUCCUGCAACGCUCAGCCCGUCCGCGCCGUCUACUCGCAGUCGCAGCACGAUUUGGCGAGAGGAGGGAGUGCGGUGGAGCCGUGGAGGUGGCCGGCGUUGUCCUGGUGCAGCCGGGUCUAGAGCCACUAUCAGACUCAGUACAUCUAAAGCGAUCGAUUUUCUCCAUUCCAAAUUUCCAAAUUGAGGAUCUGGCGAUGGAUGGCAGUGUCGGAGGUGGCAGCGUGGAGGAGGAGCUCACGGCGCAGGAGACGGCGCUCUACGACCGUCAGAUCCGUGUAUGGGGUGUCGAUGCCCAGAAGAGGCUAAGUAAGGCGCACAUGCUUGUGUGCGGCAUGAACGGAACCACUAUUGAGGUGUACUUUUUCUGCAAGAAUAUUGUUCUAGCAGGAGUUGGUAGUUUAUCUUUGAUGGAUGAUCACAUGGUCACGGAGGAUGACCUGAAUGCAAAUUUCCUGAUUCCUCCUGAUGAGAGCAUAUAUGGUGGUAGAUCUCGAGCCGAAGUUUGCUGCAAGUCUUUGAAAGAUUUCAAUCCUAUGGUUCGAGUUUCUGUUGACAAGGGUGAUCCAUCACUGAUUGAUGGAGAAUUCCUUGACAAGUUUGACAUCGUUGUAGUUAGUUGUGCAUCUCUUAAAACAAAGCUGUUUAUUAAUGAUAACUGCCGGAAGAGAAGCAAGCGUAUUGCAUUUUACACUAUAGAUUGCAAGGAUUCUUGCGGUGAGAUAUUUGUUGAUUUACAGAAGCAUAGCUUUGUCCAGAAGAAGCCUGGGGGAGAAACUGAACAGCAGGAGUUGACAUAUCCUAGUCUUCAGGAAACUAUCUCUACACCUUGGAAUAAUCUACCAAGGAAGAUGACAAAAUUAUACUUUGCUAUGAGAGGUAAGGUUAACAAAAUUGAAGACAGUGCUGCAAUAAAGAAAAGUUCCCUUUUUAGUUUCUAUUUGCCAAAUGAUGGAACUUAAAACAUGCUGAUUUCAACAUUUUUGGCCUUCUUGAUUCCUCUAAUUUUCCUGUUCUCUUGAUCAUAUCAUUUUGUAGUCCUGUAGAAUUAUGAAUUAUCUGAAGGACACUGUCCUGGCAAAACAACACUUUCUGAUAUACCUGCAGUUUUGGCUCACAUGAAGGACAUGUGUGAUAAAAUGUCCUUGAACGAGUCUCAAAUUCCUACUGCUCUCAUGAAACGACUGCUAGCAGCUGGAAAGAAGGAACAUCCUCCUGUAUGUGCCAUCCUAGGUGGUAUUCUUGGUCAGUAGGUGAUUAAAUCAAUAUCCUGCAAGGGUGAUCCGAUCAAGAAUUUCUUCUAUUUUGAUGCGGCUGAUGGUAAAGGUGUCAUUGAGGAUAUUCCAACUCCACCACCUUCUGCAAACUGACACCCAGCUGCUUGACUGCCAACUGUACCUGGUUCACUAAUCCUUGUAGCCACUCAAUAGGAUCAAACGUGCAGCUACUUUUAGAUUUGUAGCCGAGUGAAAAGACAAGUUAACUUCACUGCAAUGUGGCAUUUAGGAAUUGUGUCCAGCAGUAAAUGUGACAAUAUGCACCAACAAUUUCAAGCUGAAGUCUCGAUGGUUUCCAAUUCCAUGAUUCUGGGGUGAUGGAUUCCUUUGUUGUCUCUU